UACAGAGACUGCAAGCGUUAUUCGGAUUCACUGGGCGUAAAGGGUGCGCAGGCGGUUGGGUGUGUCAGAUGUGAAAUCCCGAGGCUUAACCUCGGAACUGCGUCUGAAACUACUCGACUAGAGUACUGGAGAGGGAAACGGAAUUCACGGUGUAGCAGUGAAAUGCGUAGAUAUCGUGAGGAACACCAGAGGCGAAGGCGGUUACCUGGACAGUUACUGACGCUCAGGCACGAAAGCGUGGGGAGCAAAAGGG
rnacentral:rRNA from 1 species